GAUGAACGCUAGCUACAGGCUUAACACAUGCAAGUCGAGGGGAAACGGCAUUGAGUGCUUGCACUCUUUGGACGUCGACCGGCGCACGGGUGAGUAACGCGUAUCCAACCUUCCCAUUACUGUGGGAUAACCUGCCGAAAGGCAGACUAAUACCGCAUAGUCUUCGAUGACGGCAUCAGAUUUGAAGUAAAGAUUUAUCGGUAAUGGAUGGGGAUGCGUCUGAUUAGCUUGUUGGCGGGGUAACGGCCCACCAAGGCUACGAUCAGUAGGGGUUCUGAGAGGAAGGUCCCCCACAUUGGAACUGAGACCCGGUCCAAACUCCUACGGGAGGCAGCAGUGAGGAAUAUUGGUCAAUGGACGGAAGUCUGAACCAGCCAAGUAGCGUGCAGGAUGACGGCCCUAUGGGUUGUAAACUGCUUUUGUAUGGGGAUAAAGUUAGGGACGUGUCCCUAUUUGCAGGUACCAUACGAAUAAGGACCGGCUAAUUCCGUG
rnacentral:rRNA from 1 species